AGUAAAAGUUGUAACAAGGUCUCCGUUGGUGAACCAGCGGAGGGAUCAUUACAGAGUUACUUAAAAACUCCCAACCCUUUGUGAACUUACCACUGUUGCCUCGGCGUUGGCUGCGGCUACCCUAUAGUUACCCUGUAGGCAACUACCCUGUACCUAUCUCGUAGUUCGCUUAGGCCCGUCGGAGGACCACUGAACUCCUGUUUUUACUGUGAAUAUUUGAAUGCUUCAACUGAAAUAAGUUAAAACUUUCAACAACGGAUCUUUUGGUUCUGGCAUCGAUGAAGAACGCAGCGAAAUGCGAUAAGUAAUGUGAAUUGCAGAAUUCAGUGAAUCAUCGAAUCUUUGAACGCACAUUGCGCCCAUUAGUAUUUUAGUGGGCAUGCCUAUUCGAGCGUCAUUUCAACCCUUAAGCCCCUGUUGCUUAGCGUUGGGAGACUGAGCCCCCCCCCCGGGGGCCCAGCUCCUUAAAAGUAGUGGCGAUGUCGUGGCACAUCCUAAGCGUAGUAAUUUUCUUCUCGCUUCUGUGAUUGUCGCGGCUAUCUGCCGUAAAACCCCCUAUAUUUCUAGUGGUUGACCUCGGAUUAGGUAGGAAUACCCGCUGAACUUAAGCAUAUCAAUAAGCGGAGGAAAAGAAACCAACAGGGAUUGCCCCAGUAACG
rnacentral:rRNA from 1 species